rfam:Pteropus alecto contig3276, whole genome shotgun sequence.
GUCUAUGGCCAUGCCAUCCUGAACACGCCCGAUCUCGUCUGAUCUCGGAAGCUAAGCAGGGUCAGGCCUGGCUAGUACUUGGAUGGGAGACCACCUCAGAAGACCAGGAGCUGUAGGCG